rnacentral:rRNA from 1 species
GCCUACGGGAGGCUGCAGUGGGGAAUUUUGGACAAUGGACGCAAGUCUGAUCCAGCCAUGCCGCGUGCGGGAAGAAGGCCUUCGGGUUGUAAACCGCUUUUGUCAGGGAAGAAAAGGUUCUGGUUAAUACCUGGGACUCAUGACGGUACCUGAAGAAUAAGCACCGGCUAACUACGUGCCAGCAGCCGCGGUAAUACGUAGGGUGCAAGCGUUAAUCGGAAUUACUGGGCGUAAAGCGUGCGCAGGCGGUUAUGCAAGACAGAGGUGAAAUCCCCGGGCUCAACCUGGGAACUGCCUUUGUGACUGCAUAGCUAGAGUACGGUAGAGGGGGAUGGAAUUCCGCGUGUAGCAGUGAAAUGCGUAGAUAUGCGGAGGAACACCGAUGGCGAAGGCAAUCCCCUGGACCUGUACUGACGCUCAUGCACGAAAGCGUGGGGAGCAAACAGGAUUAGAUACCCUGGUAGUC